rnacentral:rRNA from 1 species
GAUGAACGCUGGCGGCGUGCCUAAUACAUGCAAGUCGAGCGAACGGACGAGAAGCUUGCUUUUCUGGUGUUAGCGGCGGACGGGUGAGUAACACGUAGAUAACCUACCUAUAAGACUGGGAUAACUUCGGGAAACCGGAGCUAAUACCGGAUAAUAUUUUGAACCGCAUGGUUCAAAAGUGAAAGACGGUCUUGCUGUCACUUAUAGAUGGAUCCGCGCUGCAUUAGCUAGUUGGUAAGGUAACGGCUUACCAAGGCAACGAUGCAUAGCCGACCUGAGAGGGUGAUCGGCCACACUGGAACUGAGACACGGUCCAGACUCCUACGGGAGGCAGCAGUAGGGAAUCUUCCGCAAUGGGCGAAAGCCUGACGGAGCAACGCCGCGUGAGUGAUGAAGGUCUUCGGAUCGUAAAACUCUGUUAUUAGGGAAGAACAUAUGUGUAAGUAACUGUGCACAUCUUGACGGUACCUAAUCAGAAAGCCACGGCUAACUACGUG